AAGAGGUGUAAACAAAAUGACUUUCAGUUAAAUUUAAAUGGGCACAGUUGGAUUACAGGCCAGAGUCUAACUUGGUGUGACCAGGAACAACACUAUUGAUUUCAGCAAGGUUUUAUUCAAUUAAAUUGUGUAAAAUAGCCUAACAAA